rnacentral:rRNA from 1 species
GAGGUUAAGCGACUAAGCGUACACGGUGGAUGCCCUGGCAGUCAGAGGCGAUGAAGGACGUGCUAAUCUGCGAUAAGCGUCGGUAAGGUGAUAUGAACCGUUAUAACCGGCGAUUUCCGAAUGGGGAAACCCAGUGUGAUUCGUCACACUAUCAUUAACUGAAUCCAUAGGUUAAUGAGGCGAACCGGGGGAACUGAAACAUCUAAGUACCCCGAGGAAAAGAAAUCAACCGAGAUUCCCCCAGUAGCGGCGAGCGAACGGGGAGCAGCCCAGAGCCUGAAUCAGUGUGUGUGUUA